ACCCUCUCGGGGUCGCACCCGGAGAGUUUCCAGUGCUCUACCAGUUUUGACUAUGGGAGGGAGAGUCAAGCAGAGAUAUAUCCAUUACAUUUCCAGCUUGGCCAGGGGCUAGUGAGUGGAAGGCCAUCUGCUACAAGU